UCCCAUCAGAACUCCGCAGUUAAGCGCGCUUGGGUUAGAGUAGUACUAGGAUGGGUGACCUUCUGGGAAGUCCUAAUAUUGCACCCUU
rnacentral:rRNA from 1 species